rnacentral:lncRNA from 1 species
ACUUUGUUCAUUGUAGAGACACCACACCUGACAUCAGCACAUCAAGGAAGAGAGGUUUAAUUUGGGCUCACAUUUACAGGUCGUGGUCGGCUGGCUCCAAGGCAGGACUGCACGGUGCUCACCUCACAGAAGAGGAGCAGAGCGAGAAGGGAGAAGCAGGAGAGGGAGAUGGCCUUCCAGGUCACAGCCCGGCAACUGUGAUCUGCUAACCAGACCCCUCUCCCCGCCAACAUCACACUCAGCAGUAGAACCCAUGUAACUCAGUCACCUUCCACAAGCCCUACUCUGAGUGCAUGAGGCUUUGGGGGCACAUCCAGAUGUAAACCAUAGCAAGUGGAAAGCAUUGCUUCACCCUCCCUGGAAAGGACUGUAUUAAGCCCUGCUAACUAGGAACAGGGCUGUCAAGAACUAUAUUCUUAGAUCCUAAUCUUAACCCUUACCUCCCGCACUGAGCAGAUGUUAAUCCCACGCGCUGGAUAGAUUUUACUGUUAAUGUCUCUUCGUUCUAUUCCAUGUGUACUUGUAUGCCAUCCAGUGGUCUUCCCCAUUACGUCUUUGACAUAUAUCCAUCCUGCUGCCAUUAAGAAAAAAAACCCAGAAAAUCUCCAAAAUCUUGUUAUUUGUCAACCCACACACAGAAACAAUAGGACAGGUGUCCUGACCAUUGCAGGUAUUGGCAUGUGCAGGGCUGGAUAUUUUGCUGCCUUCUUCCUUCUGAACAUCCUGGCUGGGCAGAACAUAUGAAUAAUACAUGAAGACAUUCUCCAAAACAAUAAGAAGUAAAAUCCAUCUCGACUACCACCUCAAUUCUAAUCCUCUCUCUGGAGGUGGA